rnacentral:rRNA from 1 species
UACGGGGGGGGCAAGCGUUGUUCGGAAUUACUGGGCGUAAAGGGCUCGUAGGUGGCCAACUAAGUCAGACGUGAAAUCCCUCAGCUUAACUCUGGGGUCGCCUUUGAAACUGCCAAACUCGAGACUGGAAGAGGUAAGCGGAAUUCUCGGUGUAGUCGUAAUAAGCGUUGAUAUCGAGAAGAACACCAAAUGCGAAGGCAGCUUACUGGUACAGUCCUGACACUCAGGGACGAAAGCGUGGGGAGCAAACAGG